UACGGAGGGGGCUAGCGUUGUUCGGAAUUACUGGGCGUAAAGAGCGCGCAGGCGGUCGUUCAAGUCGAGUGUGAAAGCCCCCGGCUCAACUGGGGAGGGUCAUUCGAUACUGAUCGACUUGAAGGCAGGAGAGGGAAGCGGAAUUCCCGGUGUAGUGGUGAAAUGCGUAGAUAUCGGGAGGAACACCAGUGGCGAAGGCGGCUUCCUGGCCUGUUCUUGACGCUGAGGCGGCGAAAGCUAGGGGAGCAAACGGGG
rnacentral:rRNA from 1 species